ensembl:lncRNA
CGGGUGCAUUGCCUUGCCCUGCCUCAUAUGCCAGGAAAAAUUGGCCAAGGAGUGGCCAUGGUUACAGGAGCAGCUCUGGGCUCCCCUUCAUCUAUAUUGGCAGGAAGGUAGUGAGCACAAAUCCCAGCAUGGAAAGCACAAGGCUAUGCACAGCUCGCGGCAGAAUUUGAUGGAGAAGCUUAGAAGGCAAAGAAAGCCACCUCCACCUCUGUUUCUAGAGAUUACCAUUCAUUGUUUUUUUUUUAUACGCAUAGCAUUCCCUUCCCCUAACCUCUGUCUGUCUGGUGAAAUGGGCAGAAGGGAUAGAGCAGAUGAGGGGGAUCAGAAAGAGAAGGGGUGCUCACAGAAAAAAUAAGGGGACAAAAAAAAAGGGAGCUGGUCUUUGAUUCAGUUGGGGUCCAUAUUCACAAAGAGAUCACUCAGAGAUUUCAUACAAAUGGCAGGAGCAGAAUGCGAGCACACCGAGGGGCCUAAUGCAGGCACUUGUCCUGUAAUCAAAGAUUCAGCUCGACGUGAGUCCUUUGUGAGACAACAGCAUCAUUCUCCACCCGGGUUCACCCCUGAAUGCAGAGCAGCUCUCUAAAGCAAGGCAGGACGAGCCUCGCCUUUCUUUGUCUUGGUUGGAAAAUAUCAUUUUUUUCCUUCUCCUAUUUUCCUCUUUUCCUCAUUCGUUUCUCUUCUAAAGAAAACAAGCUCUCACUGUGCCUCUAGUGAAGCUGAGGAUGUUUGCGUGAGGGAGGCACUGACGGGGAGAGGAGAGCAGAGCAGCAGAUGGGCGGAAUGGAAUGGCGGGGCGAGAGCGGCUCAGCCUGCCGUGGUGGGACGUGCGGCAGCAUGGCUGACAGCUCCAGGCAGCGAGCACCAUGGCGUCCUCCUCUGCGUUUCCAGAUGUCUCCAGAUCAGCACUGGAUGCCUUUCCAAUAGUCAAAUACAAGCAAUUCAUUUCACAGAAUAUCUGUGGUUUGAAAUUCAGAGGAAGAUAAAAAUGGCUUACCCUGGCCUUCAGAGCUCUAAGUAUCACAGAUAGGAAAUCCUGGAAUCCUGGAUGUAAGUGUAAUUGAGGUGUACGCAGGAAAAGACACUUUGCGUUGUGAAAAGUAACUAUUCUUUUCAAACCUUUUCUCUUUUUAUUCUGUUGGCUGCACCCAAGAAGUCAUACGCAUAUCAGAGAAUGUUACUGUUCAGAUCAGAUCUAUUGACAUAAUUAACUUAUUUGCAAACAGUUUCAUGUAUUUUUGUCUGAGUCUGCCUUCCUGCAUACACCAAAACUACCCUGAUUCAGCUCCUAGUGAAUUAGGGUGGUGUACAGCAAAUAAAGGAACAAUCAUUGAGUCCAAACAUAUUUGCAUUCUUAAUAUGGUGCGCACAUUCAGGCAAGAGGCAAUUUGCAUGAAGACCAUGAGCCAAAUGCAGUUCUGACAGUAGCAGGCAUAACUUUAUUCAAAUCAGACAAGCAGCAGGCAUUUACAAGGGGCCAGAAUAGGUGCUGUGUGCUUGCUGCACGUCCAUGCUCAGCAUAAUGCACUGCUCUUGAUCAAAACCUCACAUUUUCCAUAGAUGGACCAAUGCUUAUCAGAACUGAAUACAAAUUUCAGCUGUAGGAUGGGGUGUACACUUGCAGUACCUGACAAAAUGUAUAGUUUGCUUUUAAGCCUCGCUUUCAGUGUGAAGAGUAAUUCAUACUUUUAAAAAACACCCUCUUUUCAAGCUUUCAUUGCAUGGAUUAGCUAAGAAGCAGCAUGCCAGGAUGCCUCUGGCCACCUUCAAAACCUCCUUGUAAACUCAGGCACAAGCAGAAUCAGCUUCACUUCGUCCCAAGUAUUAGUGCUUUGUUUUAAAGUUGCAGUUUUCUGAGUGUUGCUCCUAAUACUUUAAUGGUGGUUGUAUACCCCAGUGCUGGUGCUGUGUCUUGCUGCGUUUCAGCAAAUGUUGUGAGGAAUCUACAGCAAUUAGCUGUUCAUGCCUCUGCUUUCCUGUUUUGUGCCUUCUCUUUCAUGUAUCAGAUGUUUGUAAGUUUUCCAUUAGACAUUUCCUGCUUCUAAUAGAUGUUUGUGAGGCUCUUGCUUUGAGCUAUCAAGGCUCCAAUUUGUGCUGAGAUGUUUGGUUUUGGUUUAGGGCUGAGAGGUCUUUGUACUCCUUUCUUCCUAGAAAACAUUAUAAUCUGGAAAAAAUAAAUAAAUUGUACUUUGCAAAAAGUGAAUAUGACUCCUUCAUCUAAAUGGCAUGGUUUGCACAUGUGUCUUUUGUCAGCGGAUCACUCCUAAAAUAAAAGCACUUAAACUGCAGUUUCUGCCAACUUAUCAGACACCAAUUGGUGACAAUAUAUAUGUAGUGCAGUUUCUAAAGGCAGCUUUGUACUUCAGUGUUUUCAUCUUCUUUGCCGUGUUUUUUUUUUUUUUUUUUUUCCUCUCUCUCACCCUCUUUUUAAUUUGAAACGGUGACUGAUUUCUUUUUCUCCUUCCACCAGCUUGGUGUGCUGUACUUAACAAGUAAGGAGCUUUAGCUGCUUUUGAAAGAAGAAAAUGCCUCUUAAAAAGUGUUUCAAAUGAGCAUUGCUCACUGUGAAGUGGCUGUCAAAAUUAACAGGAAAGGCAUAAUUGAUUCCCUG